rnacentral:snRNA from 1 species
AUGCUGUCUUUGGCAGCACAUAUACUAAAAUUGGAACAAUACAGAGAAGAUUAGCACAGCCCCUGUGCAAAGAUGACACACAAAUUCAUGAAGUGUUCCUUAUUUGU